AGCAUUCAGUUAUUAUGCUUUCUUACUCACAUUGUGUGUUGGAGAUUUGAGAUUUCUAAAGUCAGAGAUUCCUCUUUCUUUGGCUGACAGAAUUGAAGGUUCCUCAAGAAAAAGUUUUCAUACAAUCAUUUUAGGAGAUUGUCUUUAUAAAUUAAUUUCUAUAACACUUUUUCCCAGUCCUGAUGUUCAAAACUAUGCACUACGAGAAACUUUGUUUUGAUGUGUCAGAAGAGGGUAGUCAAUUAUUAGCUUACACUUUAGUUGUUGGACUUGCUUACAUCUGUUAGUUUGACUGCAGGUUCCUUUUGUAGUCAUUGAUGGCAGUCAGUGGCCAGUAGCAGAUUAUGUUGUUGUGAACAUGGAUGGCUCAAGGCAUCAUCUACCUCUUACCACAUUAUGUCACCAACUACAGCUGAUGAAUUCUUCUCUCCUUACACAUUCCUCCAGGCACUUUUUGGUCGUAAAUACCCUGUUGGACUGUUUGAUGAGGAGAGAAAAUUCUUCCAUUAGGAAAGUAUGUCAGUGCUGUUAGCCUUUUCUUUUGAAAAUGAAUUCCAGAGAUCAGGUCAUGAAAAGAUUUUCCUUAUUUUUUAUGGAAAAGUGGAGGCAACGUAGACAGGAUGAGCAGGAGUAGCAGGAGCAACAGCAGUAGAGCCAUGCUGCAGUUGAUGAGCCCAACACUCUUGCGGAGGAUGAUCGGGAGAUGUACCAGAUGGAUUGUUACGUGUAAUUUGUCUAAUGAGGUGUAAUUUGUCUAAUGAGGAGGACGAGAUCCGUUUUUGUCCCAUGCGGUCAUCUUGUGUGUUGUUAGUGAUGUGUGUUAUCCGCGGAACUGGAGGUUUCACCAAAAUGCUCUGUUUGUAAGAAGCUGAUCUCUAAUUCAAUCCAGAUUCUUGAGUAUGGUAGUGAUUUUGUUUCUGUUAGUUCAAGGGUGGAAAGUUCAAAUUGUUAGCUUUUCUUCUUUAAUUUAUCCCCGGAAAGAGCACUCCUAUCCUUUAAUGGAGAGUCCACAAUGGACUGGUGAUUGUUUUGUGUCAGUAACAAUUCUUCGUGGGUCUCUCCUACUGUUAAAACUGUGUUGUUUAGUAAAUUGAGCCUUAUUGUUAAGUUUGUCACCUUGAAGUGGCUUUUGUUGU